CGUACGUGCUGUCGGGAUCGCCGCGCUGAUAAACCGCAUGCAUUUCGUCUGACUCAUCGAUAAUCGUCCUUUCGGAUCUCCCGCUUCACGCGUUCUACUACGCGAAAAGCAAGGUUAAAUGCCAAGGGUGCGACGGUGUCCACCUACGAAGUUUCUCCGAUGAAAAAUUGAGAGUGCUGAAGAUUUACUGAUAGAAACAUGCCCGGACGAUCGCCGGCAAGGGCAUACGAGCGGCCCAUUACAAGCGAAGAUUGCGGGUUUGCCACCACUUGAAUAUCAUCACGGGAGAACAAAUGACCAGGGCGCAGAAUGGGCGAAUCUUGGCUUUCGGUCCUACUCGCUAGCACGUUGACAACCAUGAUAAUGAUGGCGGUGACGAAGGCCAAUUCAUUCUCGACGCCGUCUCUGUCGACGAUUGUUCGUGACGAUAUCGUGGAUUCCAAACGGGUUUGUC